GCUCACUUUGACAACACAUAUACAAAAAGAAAUGAUAGAAGAUGAAUAAGGCCCCUGCACAAGGAUGACAUGCAAAUUUGUGAAGCGUUGCAUAUUUUU
rnacentral:snRNA from 1 species